AGUUUCUCUCCUGUUUCAUUUGCAGCCACUGGGGAAAGAAACUGUGAGAAUGACCAGGUCCCAAAGAUUUUAUGUGAAGAUGGUCCUAGCAACGAGAGCUCAGCAAGACUUGAAGCCCUGAAGGAGGAGCUGUGCAUUGGCCAAUAGGGUGAGGAGAGACCGUGAAAUGCUCAGAAAGCUUGCUCAGAAACCCCGAACAGACAGUUUGAAAACAAGGAAGGUCAGGAUCCGUGCACUGAGUCAGGGAGAUGAGUAUUUCUGGAUCAGGUUCAAGUAUAACAAAACCCAGAAACAGUGGAUGUGGUUGGACAACACUGGAUUCUCCAGAUACAGGGUAACAUUGAAAAAACACCUUCCUGGAAAUGACUGUGCCUCUUUAAAGAGAACAGAUGACUUUGUUCUCAAGGAUGUCAAUAUCUUCUGCACUGGAUCUGUAAGAGAAAUGUAUCUCUGCUGGAAUUCUGAGAUUCUGCAAGAACAUUGGCAGCAUCUUCUGGAUCUACUAUUUUUUCUCUCAGAGCUGGCAGGGUUGGUAUUCAUCCAUCCUUUUCAUUCUCUUCUUCCUCUUCUCUGUAAGUUACUUUUAUGUCUUUCUCCCCCACUAGAUCUAAAAUAUUAAUGAAACAAUUUGUUUCUUCUAAGCCUAUGUUGCCCUCCCAAACAUUUA